rnacentral:rRNA from 1 species
AUUGAACGCUGGCGGCAGGCCUAACACAUGCAAGUCGGACGGUAGCACAGAGGAGCUUGCUCUUCGGGUGACGAGUGGCGGACGGGUGAGUAAUGUCUGGGAAACUGCCCGAUGGAGGGGGAUAACUACUGGAAACGGUAGCUAAUACCGCAUAACGUCGCAAGACCAAAGUGGGGGACCUUCGGGCCUCACACCAUCGGAUGUGCCCAGAUGGGAUUAGCUGGUAGGCGGGGUAACGGCCCACCUAGGCGACGAUCCCUAGCUGGUCUGAGAGGAUGACCAGCCACACUGGAACUGAGACACGGUCCAGACUCCGACGGGAGGCAGCAGUGGGGAAUAUUGCACAAUGGGCGCAAGCCUGAUGCAGCCAUGCCGCGUGUAUGAAGAAGGCCUUCGGGUUGUAAAGUACUUUCAGCGGGGAGGAAGGUGCUGAGGUUAAUAAGCUCAGCAAUUGACGUUACCCGCAGAAGAAGCACCGGCUAACUCCGUGCCAGCAGCCGCAGUAA